rnacentral:rRNA from 1 species
GAAAAGAAAGAAAAAGAAAAGAAAAAAAAAAAAANAAAAAAAAAAAAAAAAAAAGAAAGAAAAGAAAAGAAGAAAAGAAAAGAAGAAAAAGAAAGAAGAAAAAGAAAGAAAAGAAAGAAGAAAAGAAAAAGAGAGAAAUCUUUGAAUGGGAAAUAAAAAUUAGGUAGUUAUCAUGAAAACCAUGAAAACCCCGUUGUGUUAUCUUUGGAUAUUAUUUUGCGUGCUUUGUACUGGCUCCAGCCUUGGUAACCUACUUUUUUUUUGAAUACCCCAAUUAAUAAAAUUAAAAUUAAAAUUAAAAUUAAAAUUAAAAUUAAAAUAAAAUAAAAAGACCCAUGGGAUGACCUCCAAAAAGUUUUGGUUAAAGCCACAAAUGAUAUGAAACGAGAUGCUCUUGCGUCGUGCUUUAUUUUUCCGAAGACAGAGUCUUUAGGUGAUGUUGCCCCUUUCGUUACCUAUGAGAUGGAGAC